UGAUAUCUGAGAAGCAUUUCUCUCAAGGUCUCAGAGAGUCUUUUUACGAGGAAAUUUGCCGAGGAGCAGGUCGUAGCUCAAGUGCGUUGGGAUCACUCUUCUCUGCGAGCACAGUUUUAGCUCUUCAAGUUUAGAGGCAUCUCCCAAUUCAAUCGAAGACGUGAGGGAGAUUCUAGCAUUGGGAAUGCUUCCGACGAUCUCCGCGAUCCAAUUUUGGAUAGGACACCAAGAACACAUCAUCUUCUCUUGCAUCAAAAGAAUCCAAAGAAUUAAGAAGCUCUUCUGAAGACAUAGUGGAGAAGAGGAUCCCCUUGAAUUUAUGGAGAACACUUAGCUGGCUCUGGGAUGACAUCUUCCAUCAAAUCUGUCAAAAAUUAUUCACUAAAAACUGACCACACAAGGCACAAAAGGCUCAACUCUGAGUGACAGCAAUCAAGUGGUCCAUCCAGAUGCCAGCCACAGGGUACCAGCUCUACUCUUGGUGAGGAAGAAGGAACAGAGCACCUGUGUGCCACUGGCCCUGCUCACUUAUAAAUGGCUUUGAGAUUUUCCA